UCUCUCUAUCGUGCACGGAUGCCUGAGGAGCGCGGGGUUCGCUGACGCUCCGGGGAACAGAAACAAAGAAAAUAAUCUUCUAGAUGAGUUUUAUCGAUGGAUUGAUGGUAAAGAAAAGGAUUUAAAGGGGACGUGCUGUACCUGCACCAUUCUGGAAUUUUCUGAGUUUAACGAUCUCCUUGGUCAAGUUUUUUUUUUCCUUGUUGUUCUGUCCUUUUCCAAAUUCGAUUGCUGUCUGUCUGAUGUGACGAGAUGUUCCGGUACCUGCAUUCUGGAUUUGUCCCGGCCUUCCGGUGGUUCUGAGGAGGGUUUGGACUGGCGAGCCUCCCUUGAGUCUGUUCUUGGAUUUUCUGUGGAAACAAAAGACAAGUUUUUCUGACCCUGUGAAUGGU